UUGCAAUAACAUAUGCAUUGAUCAAAGGGAAAAUGGGGCUGGAAAAUAAAUAUGAAAAGAGGCCCACUUCAAUGGGUAUAUAUUAUCACCUUUGGAAAAAAUCCUUUCUGCUUGUUCUUGAUUCAAGGUCACAGUUCAGGUGCAGCAGAGUCUAAAUCAUCUAAAGCAAAUCAGGCCAGAAAUGGGCUGAUAAUGAAGGCCAAAAAAAGUGUGCUUGCUUUUUACCUGUGAAUCAUCAGGACGACAAUGGAGUCUAAAGAUUCUAUUAGCAUCACAGAAGCUCUCAGGAAGCAAUCUGCACUUUCUCUCAAAAAUUUUCACUAUGGUAUUAUAGAACCUUGAUUAUUAAUUGAGAGCCGUGGAGCUGGAGCUCAGCAUGAAAUAAUGAAGCUUUGCUUAUUCCAUUUACGCUGCUUGAUAUCACGUUUCCAGGGUGACAUGACACCUUUUUCUGAGGAUUCCUUCUUCAC